GUGCUCGCUUCGGCAGCACAUAUGCUAAAAUUGGAACGAUACAGAGAAGAUUAGCAUGGCCCCUGGGCAAGGAUGACACGCAAACUCGUGAAGCGUUCCAUAUUUUU
rnacentral:snRNA from 1 species